GACAGAGGCCCCGAGCGUUAGGCGGAAUCACUGGGCUUAAAGCGUGUGUAGGCGGACGCCUAAGUGUCUUGUGAAAUCCCACGGCUCACCCGUGGAACUGCUGGGCAUACUGGGCGUCUUGGGCCAACUAGGGGCAGCCGGAACAAGCGGUGGAGCGGUGAAAUGCGUAGAUAUCGCUUGGAACGCCGAAGGUGAAAACAGGCUGCUGGGGUUGCGCCGACGCUGAGACACGAAAGCCAGGGGAGCAAACGGG
rnacentral:rRNA from 1 species